AUUGAACGCUGGCGGCAGGCCUAACACAUGCAAGUCGAACGGUAGCACAGAGAGCUUGCUCUCGGGUGACGAGUGGCGGACGGGUGAGUAAUGUCUGGGAAACUGCCCGAUGGAGGGGGAUAACUACUGGAAACGGUAGCUAAUACCGCAUAACGUCUUCGGACCAAAGUGGGGGACCUUCGGGCCUCACACCAUCGGAUGUGCCCAGAUGGGAUUAGCUAGUAGGUGGGGUAAUGGCUCACCUAGGCGACGAUCCCUAGCUGGUCUGAGAGGAUGACCAGCCACACUGGAACUGAGACACGGUCCAGACUCCUACGGGAGGCAGCAGUGGGGAAUAUUGCACAAUGGGCGCAAGCCUGAUGCAGCCAUGCCGCGUGUAUGAAGAAGGCCUUCGGGUUGUAAAGUACUUUCAGCGGGGAGGAAGGCGUUAAGGUUAAUAGCCUUGGCGAUUGACGUUACCCGCAGAAGAAGCACCGGCUAACUCCGUGCCAGCAGCCGCGGUAA
rnacentral:rRNA from 1 species